rnacentral:rRNA from 1 species
AACAAACGCUGGCGGCGUGCCUAAUACAUGCAAGUCGAACGAGGAAAGCUUUCGGGUGAGUACUAGUGGCGCACGGGUGAGGAAUACAUGGGUAAUCUGCCCUCGAGUUUGGGAUAACCAGUCGAAAGAUUGGCUAAUACCGGAUAAGACCACAAGAUCUGCGGAUCUAGGGGUUAAAGGUUUUUCGCUUGAGGAUGAGCCCAUGCGGGAUUAGCUAGUUGGUGGGGUAAUGGCCUACCAAGGCUACGAUCCCUAACUGGUCUUAGAGGAUGAUCAGUCACACUGGAACUGAGACACGGUCCAGACUCCUACGGGAGGCAGCAGUAGGGAAUAUUGCACAAUGGGGGAAACCCUGAUGCAGCGACGCCGCGUGAGUGAUGAAGGCCUUCGGGUCGUAAAGCUCUGUCGUAUGGGACUAACACAAUGAAGGUACCAUGCAAGAAAGGAUCGGCUAACUUCGUGCCAGCAGCCGCCGUAA